rnacentral:rRNA from 1 species
CAGCCGUAAACUAUGCGCGUUAGGUGUAUCGGUGACCACGAGUUACCGAGGUGCCGAAGGGAAACCGUGAAACGUGCCGCCUGGGAAGUACGGUCGCAAGGCUGAAACUUAAAGGAAUUGGCGGGGGAGCACCACAACAGGUGGAGCCUGCGGUUUAAUUGGACUCAAACGCCGGGAAGCUCACCGGAUAGGACAGCAGAAUGAUUGCCGGGCUGAAGACCCUGCAUGAUGGUCUGAGAGGAGGUGCAUGGCGUCAGUGACU